CUGAUGCUCUCUGUCUCUCAAAAAUAAAGAACAUUAAAAACAAAAGAGAAAAUAAAGUCUCAAUAUCUCUUCUGUGCAGCAAACCCAACUCAUUCUAUUUCUACCCCCGACAUAGAUGCACAUCACCUUUGAAAUCGUUCCAUUCAGCUUGACAAACACUGUCUGCCGUGCGCAAGAACACAGGCCGGGCUCGGUGGAAAUGUAGAAGGAAAGAAGACCCUGCCUUCAGCUUGGGACUUUCACAGAGUCAUGGGGAGGGCAGGGCGAGACUGGGCAAGGCCACAGGCCCAGGACUAAGGAGGCUCAGUCUGGGGCUCCUGUAGGUGCAGGACGGCACUCUAGGGGGAGCUCCUCCUUCAGCCGUGCUCCCAGGGCACCCUGCUCAUCUCUGGACCCUGGGGGAGAGGAAAGUGCUCCCACAGGACAGGCCAUCAGGGAGUCCGCAGAGGGAGGCAGCAAGGGGCAGCAAAAAGCGCUCCGGAGUUCCCACACCUGUGGGAAACCCCGCCUGGGUUACUUGGGGCACAGUCUUCCCCCUUUCUAGGCCGUUUUCCCUCGCAUCAUCGCUCAGAGUGUUCUCAAGAAAAGUCAAGUGAGAAAACAGACUGUCCGGUUGUGACAGAGGAGAGAGAAAUUCAUCCGCACAGCCGCAUGCGGGCUAGCGGUGGGCGCCAGGCAGAAACCAGGGUCUCCUAUCUUUGCCCAGCCGAAGCGCAAAGGGAGAAGGGUGCGUAAGUGGAGCUUUGUUUUUUUCUCUCAUUCCAGGGUGGCAUCCCCCUCAGCGCCAUCCUCGGGCACUCCCAGCCCCAGCAGUCCUCUGUGAAAUCUUGCCAUUGGUGGCCCAGCGUGCCGGGACAGGUCUGCGGGUCUAGACCACGGCUGCCUGCUGAGGGGUAUGACUGGGAGCGCGCCGUCACAAGUUGGCAGUGAGGAAAAUCCAAGGAAGUGAAGGCGCCCAGCAUCUGGAGGCCACGCCCCAGCCAUAUGCAGCAGCCACCACCAGCCCAGAUGCUUCAAAGGGGCCGAUCCUUCCAGAGGCCUUGUUCACAUUAGGCAGUGGAGGCUUGCCAAGUCCACAAACCCUCCACUACAUGCGUUAAUAAAAGGGCAGCAGUGGUGGCCACGCCCCCCAGAGGAUGCAUCGCUGCGGUGAACUUUUUCAGAUGCUGGGUGCCUUUCAUCAAGCAUCUUCUUCCCGCUUUGGGCUCCACAGCAAACCAGUAUUCACAUCCAGUCACUGCGCUGGGAUGGGGGUUUUUUGUGCUCCAUACUCUGUGCAGCUUGGCUGUAUAGGGAAAACUCAGUCCAUAAGACCUAAGAGGAGAAUUAUUCUUGAGGGGCCCACCGCACCCUCAUCAACGGGGGAUGGCGCAUGGCCAUUCUCAAAUCAUGGAAAAGAGAUUCAGAAACCAGACAUUCCCCAAACCCAAACCAUAAACACCAUGGGCCAACCACCUUCUUGCAGCUUCCCACCCUCUGCUAGAAUGAUAGCAUCCUCCUAUAAACCCCAGAGAGAUGGAAAGUAAGGCCUGUUUCCUAGAAGCAACUGAGAAUAUUGCUUUGAAAGCCCUGGAAUAUUCAUAGCCCUGAAAGUGGAAGAAGUGGGGUAAAGCAACAUUUCCUCAGUGCCUGCUGUAUGCCAGGUGUGUUGCUUAUAUAAGCACAUAUAAUUUCGACUGCAAAAUUUUUAACGGAAGAGAGAACUUAAACCCAGAGAGAUCACAGAUUUUUUUUUAAACGCCACACUGGUAGUGACAAAGCUAGGUCCAUGUUCUUUUUCCUACAACACACUGCCUAAUACAACACAUGCUGUUUCCCCCACCCCUUCUCCUGGUUACAACCUACUUCUCCUUCAAUAUGCAGGCCAAUAGCUUUCUCAGGGAAGGCUUCUGAGAUCCCCAAACUAGUGGGGUUGCUAUUAAACAUUCUCAUGGUGUUCUUGAGUGACCCGUGUCACAGCCUGCAACUAUGUUCUUGUCUGAUUUAUCCCUCACUCCAUCCACCUCUCUAUCCUCCCUCCAGGGAGGGCAAGUUUUAUUUGCCAUCUUUCACCAGCCCUGGUCAAGAGUUAAGGCUCCAAACCUGUUUUUCUGAGUGAAUCAUUUAUAGAUGUUUAUACAGGCAAGGCAAGAUAAACUGAAUUCUAAGAUGACAAUGAGAAUGAGAUGGUUAAAUGGCCUGAAAAAGUUUCAAAGAGUGACCAUCCCAUGGAUCUAAGUACAACCAACGGCCAAGGGGAAGAAGAUCUGGAAACAGGCCACUGGAUUAGGCAACUAAGAGGUCAGUGAUGUUCUUAGUAGGAAUAGUUUCAUGGGGCAGAGACAGAAGUAUUGAAGGAGGAAAAUAUAUGAGACAUUGAGUGAAGACCAUUCUUUCAGUAGGUUGGCAGUAAAGAGGAGGACAUAAAUAGGAUGAUAGAAUGAAGGGAAGCCAGGGGCAGCUCUUGUGCAUUUGUGUGUGUGUAUGUGUGUGUGUUCAAGUCAAAGAGACUUGAACAUUUUGCACUGGGGAAAAAGAAGUCCAAGAGAAGAUGUUGAAGUUAAAGAGAUGGAGGGAUUAGGUAACUGAUAGAGUAAUGUCAUGAAGAAAAUAGGUAAAGAUGGGGUCAAGAAUGUAGGAGAAACAUUGUCCUUCUCUUCACUCACAGUUGCUAGUAAAUCCCUGAAAAAAUUUCUGGAAAAAGUCACACACACACACACACACACACACACGCACACACACACACACAAGUCCUUUGGCUUAUACAAAUCAGAGUGGGAUAAGGGGUAAAAAAAAAAUCAAGACUACCUUCUAAAUCAGCAGUUGGAUAAA